CGAAAGCCUGACGGAGCAACGCCGCGUGUGGGAAGAAGGCUCUUGGGCUGUCAACCACUUUUCUCAGGGAAGAAGUUCUGACGGUACCUGAGGAAUCAGCCUCGGCUAACUCCGUGCCAGCAGCCGCGGUAAUACGGAGGAGGCAAGCGUUAUCCGGAAUUAUUGGGCGUAAAGCGUUCGUAGGCGGCUGUUCAAGUCUGCUGUCAAAGACCGAGGCUCAACCUCGGGUCGGCAGUGGAAACUGGAUAGCUAGAGGUCGGUAGGGGCAAAGGGAAUUCCCAGUGUAGCGGUGAAAUGCGUAGAUAUUGGGAAGAACACCGGUGGCGAAAGCGCUCUACUGGACGGCAACUGACACUCAGGGACGAAAGCUAGGGGAGCG
rnacentral:rRNA from 1 species